rnacentral:lncRNA from 1 species
UGUUCUUCCUCACUGAUUCCAACAAUGUCCAUUGCUCUUCUUGUAGCAAGAUAUUCAUGUGCAUCGCUUACACCCUCGAGCUCAAAUGAUUUUGACUGAUUUAAGUAAUGGUGGUGCAGCACAAAGAAGAUAAAAACAAUGGUAGUUUCUUUCGGGAUCAGAUAUCUGACAAACACGCGAUCUCUCAAGCAGAUAAGUUCUAAUAGCCGCCCCCGAUAUCCUCCCACUUUUA